rnacentral:rRNA from 1 species
UACGUAGGGGGCUAGCGUUGUCCGGAAUCAUUGGGCGUAAAGCGCGUGUAGGCGGCCCGGUAAGUCCGCUGUGAAAGCCCGGGGCUCAACCCCGGGUCGGCCGUGCGGACUGCCGGGCUCGAGCACUGUAGAGGCGGGUGGAAUUCCGGGUGUAGCGGUGGAAUGCGUAGAGAUCCGGAAGAACACCGGUGGCGAAGGCGGCCCGCUGGGCAGUGGCUGACGCUGAGGCGCGACAGCGUGGGGAGCAAACAGG